rnacentral:rRNA from 1 species
GGAGGCGUAAAAGGUAACCGUAAGUUUUUACCGGGGGCCGCAGAUUUUGAACCUUGCUACGGAAAAUUUAACGAGGGGGAAUCUAAAUUUGCUACGGAACAACAGUUGGAAACGACUGCUAAUACCGUAUGUGCCCUAACGGGGAAAGAUUUAUCGGCAAAUGAUGAGCCCGCGUUGGAUUAGCUAGUUGGUGGGGUAAAGGCCUACCAAGGCGACGAUCCAUAGCUGGUCUGAGAGGAUGAUCACCCACACUGGGACUGAAACACGGCCCAGACUCCUACGGGAGGCAGCAGUGGGGAAUAUUGGACAAUGGGCGCAAGCCUGAUCCAGCCAUGCCGCGUGAGUGAUGAAGGCCCUAGGGUUGUAAAGCUCUUUCACCGGUGAAAUAAUGACGGUAACCGGAAAAAACCCCGGCUAAUUUCGUGCCAGCACCGCGGUAAUACAAGGGGGCUACUUGUUCGAUGUCUGGGCUUAAA